CGAGUCCGUUGACUGCAAACUGUGCCGAAAUGUGCAACCAUUCUUCCACUCUCUUGCAACAGCUGCAGCUUGCAGCCACCACCGCGCCGCCAUUGCUCUCCGGUCUUCAAACAACCGCAACCUAUAAAAGUUAAGUGAAAAAAAUUGCACAAGAUUCUAUCAGGUUGACUCGGUUGGGUCGAAAAUCAAAAUCCGUCUUAUUUUAUUUUCGACCUAUUUGAAAUACAAGUUUCAAUUGGUCGAUUAAUUUUUUCUUGUGUUGGUCGAUCAUCUGAUUUACUGAAAUUCGAUCGAUCAAUCGGCUGAUUGAUAUCCAAUAAAUAAAAGAGGAAGAAAUUGAGAAGGAAUAAGGAGCAGAGUUGUAUAUAAGGUUUCCUUCCGUGGUUGAUUAUAAUUUAGAGCUUUUUUACUUAUCAUAAUAUUUUAGCUGAUGUUUUUGUAUGUCUGGAGAAGCAGAUUUAAGGGUGUUGAGCUCAAGAUUGUUUGUGAUUUUAGGUUGUUAGAGUGGCAUAUGUAAUUAUUUAGUGUUUAGAUGAUGAGAAGCAUAAUACUAGUGAUGUCUUGUUGUAAUUUCAAAUUCUAGCAUAUACACGUCUCCGUGUUCUCAGAGAUGGCAGAAGGUCUGCUUCUUUCUUUGCCACACACGAGGAUCAACUGAGCUGCUUUGAAACGUGUAUGAUUAUGUUAUGUAUCCACAACCUAACUUUCCAUCAUUCUUGUAUUUAAAAGCAUCACCUGUUGAAAUUAGAGUUUGUGUUGACACUAGUUACUUUUCCCAUC